rnacentral:rRNA from 1 species
ACCCCAGACUCCUACGGGAGGCAGCAGUGGGGGAUAUUGCACAAUGGGGGAAACCCUGAUGCAGCGACGCCGCGUGAGUGAAGAAGUAUUUCGGUAUGUAAAGCUCUAUCAGCAGGGAAGAAAAUGACAGUACCUGACCAAGAAGCCCCGGCUAACUACGUGCCAGCAGCCGCGGUAAUACGUAGGGGGCAAGCGUUAUCCGGAUUUACUGGGUGUAAAGGGAGCGUAGACGGUUAUGUAAGUCUGGAGUGAAAGCCCGGGGCCCAACCCCGGGACUGCUCUGGAAACUGCGUCGCUGGAGUACGGGAGGGGCAGGCGGAAUUCCUGGUGUAGCGGUGAAAUGCGUAGAUAUCAGGAGGAACACCGGCGGCGAAGGCGGCCUGCUGGACCGUGACUGACGUUGAGGCUCGAGAGCGUGGGGAGCAAACAGGAUUAGAUACCCCGGUA